CUCAUCAGCAAAGUCCAACCAACCAGCUGUAAUUGGUCAUAUAUAUAUAAUUUGUAACGAUAAUCGGAAAACCUUAAAAAAAACUAUGGGUUUCACUAUUAUACUAAAUUAUACAAAGUUAGAUUGCCUCACUGCUUUUUCUCUUUUCCUUUAUUAUUGUAGCUGCCACAUAAACGGAAAAAAUGAAAGUGAAACAUCACGGGUGUGAUGAGGAAAUGACUGUGUAGCAUUCCUUAACCGUCCAUUAUUUCCAGUCAUCUCUUCAGGAAGUCUAAACAACCAGCUAUAUUUGAUCAUAUAUAUAUUUUGUAACAUUCAUCGGGAAACCUUAAAAGCUAUGUCUUUAACAGUAAACUGGAUCACACUGGGUUUGGGGAAAAUUGCCAUCACAGUGGGAACAGCGACAGCCUCCACAACUGCUGUGGUGGGACUUGGGCUCAUAGCGGCUGCAGGUGUAGUUGGCUAUUGUGUCUACCAAAAAUCCAAAGGGAACCAAAAGGCUCAUAAGACGGCAUGAUGUGACCCCGCCCCCUACUGGAUGCUCCCAGAUAUCAUGACAGACAUAGAUAUUCAGUUAGGGAUUUUAGAGGCUGUUUACUGAUUUGAGAAAAUGUAAGAAUAAAAUCAGUGAUCACAUCUAAUUGUUAUAAUAUGUUCAUUUUGUAAAUUACAAAUCAUUGAAUUGAUUCACUAAACUUACUGCUUCACUGGGUCAUUGCGACACCAGGGUUUGAAUCCUGAUCAAGGGUUCACCAAUUGUGGUGAAACACAGUGUAAUCAAAACACCUUUACAUAUGAAGUGCAGGUCUAAUACUUGUUUCUACAAAUUAUUAAUAAAAAAACUACAAAACUCAUAUACACAUUUUAAGGAAAUUCAGACUUUUCCCCGAGCCACACCGGUGUUAUCUUAUGUUGUAUGCAUAAGGUCUUUGUCAUGUUGGAAGGGGAACCUUCGCCCCAGUUUGGGGUCCUAAGUGCUCUUGACCAGGUUUUCAUUAAGGAUCUCUCGGUGUGACGCUUUUUUCGAGUGUCAUGACAAAGGGUCUGAAUAGUUACAUUGUGAUUUUUGAGUAAAAAAAAUAAAAAAUUAAAAAAAAUAGAUAUAUACCUACUUUUGUGUAGAUUAACUAGGGAACCAAUCAAUUCACUUUGUGUUAGAAUAAGACCAUAACAUAAAAUGUAUUGUCUCAUAUCUAAUCAACAGACAUAAUUUGAUAACAAUAGUUUUGAA
rnacentral:lncRNA from 1 species